rnacentral:rRNA from 1 species
GUCCUGGCCCUAAACGGUGCACGUUUGCUGUAAGAGGAAUCGACCCCUUUUGUGGCGAAGCCAACGCGUUAAACGUGCAGCCUGGGAAGUACGGCCGCAAGGUUAAAACUCAAAGAAAUUGACGGGGGCCUGCACAAGCGGUGGAGUAUGUGGCUUAAUUCGAUGCAACGCGAAGAACCUUACCUGGCCUUGACAUGCAUGUAGUAGAACCCCGAAAGGGGGACGAGGUAGCAAUACCAGCAUGCACAGGUGCUGCAUGGCUGUCGU